GACGAACGCUGGCGGCGCGCCUAACACAUGCAAGUCGAACGGAGCCAAUCUGAUGAAGUUUUCGGAUGGAAUCAGAGGAAGCUUAGUGGCGGACGGGUGAGUAACACGUGAGCAACCUGCCUCUAAGAGUGGGAUAACAUAGGGAAACUUGUGCUAAUACCGCAUAAAGUAUUGAUAUGGCAUCGUAUUAAUACCAAAGAUUUAUCGCUUAGAGAUGGGCUCGCGCCUGAUUAGAUAGUUGGUGAGGUAACGGCUCACCAAGUCGACGAUCAGUAGCCGGACUGAGAGGUUGAACGGCCACAUUGGGACUGAGACACGGCCCAGACUCCUACGGGAGGCAGCAGUGAGGGAUUUUGCACAAUGGGGGAAACCCUGAUGCAGCGACGCCGCGUGCAGGAAGACGGUCCUAUGGAUUGUAAACUGCUGUCGUAAGGGACGAAGAUGACGGUACCUUACAAGAAAGCUCCGGCUAACUAUGUGCCAGCAGCCGCGGUAAUACAUAGGGAGCAAGCGUUGUCCGGAAUUACUGGGUGUAAAGGGAGCGUAGGCGGGAAAGCAAGUUGGAUGUGAAAACUAUGGGCUCAACCCAUAGACUGCAUUCAAAACUGUUUUUCUUGAGUGAAGUAGAGGCAGGCGGAAUUCCUAGUGUAGCGGUGAAAUGCAUAGAUAUUAGGAGGAACACCAGUGGCGAAGGCGGCCUGCUGGGCUUUUACUGACGCUGAGGCUCGAAAGCGUGGGUAGCAAACAGG
rnacentral:rRNA from 1 species